AGUCUGGAGAUAAGUAAGUGUGUUGUUUCCUCUUGGGUAACUCCAAAUUGUUUUCUUUAAACUUGUGAUUUAGCAGGUAAUCCUCCAGGUGAACCUUGACAAUCUGGUUAUACUGUAACGCCAGGACCUCUGAAAGCAGUAGGUGAUUGGGAAGCUGCCUCACCAUUUCCAGCCCUGGGCCUCUGAGAAAGACACAUUACCUGAGUCCUUGGGGGGAAAGGAUGGAAGCUCUCAGUAUUCUUUAAGAAGAAAAUCUCUUGAAGAUACCAGAUACCCAAGAAAGAAUGGAAUGAGGGAGAAUGGAAUGAGGCAACCCACUGGUAAAACAGAAGAGACAAAUCAAAGGAAUUCUGAGAAUUAAAGAAAAUAUUUGCUUAUUUCAACAUGUACUUUAAGGGUUAUAUUGCACAGCCAGAGGAAAAAAGCCUUUAAUUUAGG